GUUGAUGUUGUGCCUUCCACAUGGCUCGAUAUAACAAGUGAGGCUGUAUAUUGCUAUUGGCCAUGUAAAAACUUUACGGCCAAGGUGAAACGAAGAGAGAGACCUGAUACUACACUUUGGUCGAAGCAUGUUGCGUCUAUUCUGGUAUAUGCAGACAGCUACGAAGAAUCCAGGUGCAAAGCAAAUCAAGCAACCAUGACUUCAAACUUGGAGAGUGACGAUGAAGAUCAUAUUCAUAGAAAAAGAAGACCACCAGCACGAUACGUGAGAGCAUUAG